ensembl:lncRNA
GGCUUCUGUGCUGGGCGCGCUGGGCCGAGUUGCUGUGUUUCUCUGAGCCUCGGUUUCUUCACCUGCCAUGUGGCUGAUCAAGGAGCCCUGAUUUUAUUUAAAGACCCUUGCCUCUCCCUGUGACUCAGGAAAGUGUGACGCACCCUCAGCUCUGGGGGGAAUCCAAAUUGGUCUCAGGCGGUUGCUUGGAUCCCAUUUCCUCUGCCAGAGAUUGGUUAAACCCUGGGCAUGGGAGCCAGUUCUGGCCAAUGAGACAUGAGGGAAGGGCUGCUGUGAGAUUUGGGGAAGCUUUCUUGUUCUUCAUGUGCUGGCUGUUGUGCCUGGAUGUAUUAACUGGAGCAGUGGCAGCCAUUUUGUGGUCUUGAGGGAAUUUGGGAUGAGAAUGAAGCAGAGGAUGGGAAACCAGAAAGAUGGAAAGAAGCUGGGGGCCCAUGACAAUGGGACUCAGAACUGCCGUCCUGAUUUCUUGCUAUGGGAAUUACCAAGCGAUCCCGUUGUGUAAGCUGAUUUGAGCUGGGGUUUCCGUUUCUUGGAUCGUAAUGGAUGUUACUGAACGACUAUCAGCUGCCUGCAGACAGGGGCCGUGCCCUGGCUUGGUUGCUGUUGUAUCUCCUGCUUGGAACGCUGCCUGGCCCUGAGGUGCUCAGUUAAUAUUUGUCAAAUGAAUUGACGAAGCAGAGUGGCUGGAACAACCAAAUGAAAGCUCAAAGAGCAAGCACGGCAAAGGCCGGAAUCCCCGAGGCGGCACUGUAGGCCUCGCAUCAGUGUCCCAGCUCUCCUCAGGACCACCCACGGGCAAGGGGGUGCAUGUUUCACAGGGGAGGAAACUGAGGCACGGCGAGGUUUGGAAAGAUGACGCAUGGAUGGGAGGAGCCUGACCCGCCCGCGUGGGACACCCCUCACCCGCGGCUUGGACUCCAAGAGCCUUGAGAGUGGAGGCCAAGGGGCUCCGGCGUGUCCCGUUCCAUAAAUAGCUUCAAAGGAGGCCCAGGAGCGCGAACCGAAAUUUCCCCUCCAGCCGGGAACUGCCUCACAGGUGCGCACGCCCCGCCCCUCACCUGGCCCGGGCUUGUCCCCACGCCCAGCCCGCCGGGCGCUGCUCCCAGCUGGCGGGGGAUGGGCCCAGCCAAGCCUAGGGACCUCUGGGGGCGGGUCCUCCUCGGCUGCCGCCCGUGUCCCCACACGUCACCUCUCCCUGUGGGGCCUCCCCCCUGGGUGGGGGGGUUGGCUUAGGACACCAGGUGGUGAGUUCCAGGAGAAAGAGCAGGAGCCGAGGACUGGAGCUUCGAGAGGGGCUCCUUUCAGAGCGGGCAGACGACAUUUCAUCAAGGACAGGGAAGGCCAGAGAGCAAGGUAGGGCCAUCUGGGGAAAAGCAUUUCAAGUGGAAGGAACAGUCAGUGCAAGGGCCCUGAGGCAGCACUGCAGAUGUGUUUGAGGAAGCCACCCAGGCCCUUCCCCUUCCCUGCUGCAUCCGUCUUGCUUUUCUGGUCCCGGCAACAUAGUCUAGCGAAAUGGAGCAUCCUGGGAUGGCAGGUGCGAUGACAUUGACAAUUCAAACCGACCACAUUCCACAGGGGGGCCAGGGAGCCAUAUUUUUGGGUACAGGGACAUCAACCCUGUGUCGCCUGUGGCUGCUUACUCCAUCGCUGGCCUGAAGGCCUCUUCUGAGCAGUGGAAAUGACAGCGACAACAGUGACCCAUCUGGACCUCCGGGAUGGUGCAGAGAAGGCUCCGGAGCCAGAUGGAGCUGGGCUCAAAGGUGUCUCGCUUCCCAGGUGAUGGCCUGGGCUGGUGGUGCCUCCCGAACCUUGGUUUCCUCAUGUGUGUGGUGGGGACGGUAGUAGUUCCAGUUUUAUCAGGUUACCGGGCGCCUCAGCGAGAACGAAAAGUAGCUUACGCUUAUAAAGCGCUUACUACGUGCCUGGCAGUGCCUGCUUUACGCACAUUAAUUCAUGAUUUUCACAGUAAUCCUACAAGAGAGGGUCUGUUCCCCAUUGUGCAGAUUACGAAACAGGCUCAGAGAGGUUGAAUAACUUGCCCAAGGCCACACAGCCGGCCGUCUGGUUCCAUGGUAUGUGUACCUAACCAUCCUGCCACACAGCCCAUCUAGAUCAGUGACCUUGGGAGAGGCUCCCGAGCCCGCGGCCCGUCUUAAAGGGCUCUUGGAGAGCGCUCUGUGAGAUGCGGAAGGCCCCAGCUCUUGAGGCCUGUGGAGGGUCUUGGACUGUGUCAACUCACUGGAUUCCCAGAAGCACCGGUGAUGUUGGCCAGGCAGGGAGUGUGGCCCAUUUUACAGACGAGGGAAACUGAGGCUCAGGGAGGUGAAGCGAGUUGCCCAUCCUAACACCCCAGCCAUGCUGGCCUGUUGUCCAUUCUCUGAACGUACCAAGUCACUUCCCACGGCCUGGGCUUUGUGUCUGCUCUUCCUUCCCCCAGACUGCUGUUCCCGCACCUUCUGGCUCCUCCUUCUCAACCUUUGGACGCCAUCUUCAGUGUCACCUCCUUCGGGAAGCCCUCCCUCCCUGGUCACCCCGUCUCAGACCUGUCUCUCUCCCCUCCCUCCAGCUCUCUCGCUCUCUCGGUGCCCAGGUUGCUACCUUUGUGGCAAAAACCAACAUUUUCACCAUAUUCUUUCUUCACUUGUCUGUUUUCUGACUCCCCAAGUCCCGCCCGGAAGGGAAGGGGCUCCACGCAGGGCAUUAAGUGGCCUCUGCCCUCUGAAUGAGGCACUGCCCCCAGAGGCCAGUUCCACAGCCUGACCCUGCUGCAGGGCGCCCGGACGGACGGCCGGGCCCUCUCUCCACACCCUGGACUCCCGGCUCCACGCACGUCCCAUUCACUGCUGGGUCCCAGGGCCAGCCUGAGACACGUUUGUUGAGUGACUGAAUGAGGUGUCAGAAUCCAGAUCUGGUUCAAAACUGUGGAUUCUUUCCAUUUCAACUUGCUUUCCCUGCUACCUGGGGCCUCCCCCGGGAUUUUGGGGCCGUGUGCACACAGUGUGGGGCCGUCAACAAGGGCACUAAAAGGCCUGGAGGGCCCCUCGGAGUCAGGCGAACCUGCCACUUGGACAUUUUUAGAGUGAGAAUUAUUAUUGGCUCCGUCGGGCAGAAGCCAGAGGGGACCCAGGAGGGACCCACGUGCUCGACUCCAAGACCACAGGCCUCGCCGGCGGCGGACAGGCCUCUGGGUUCUGAUCUGUGCUUGACCAGAGGCCUGAGCUCUGGGCCGUCACGGGCCACGCAGGCCAGGGCCGCUCCGAGGGCCGGGGGCCGCAGCCCCUGCGUGCGGACUCCUCCCGCAUCCCGACAGCCGGGCACGGCCGCCGCCCUGGGAAGGCAGGGUCUGUUCUCGGCUUCCCAGGCCCAGCUGGGAGGUCAGGCCACCCAGGGGCUAAUUCCUGACAUUCUCCGGGAGGCUGAGAAACAGCAAAUGUGGCGCAAAGAUGCCGGAAAGGAGACCUCCUUGAAUCUCAGGAAAAAACCCAGAAGCGCACGCAGGGACGUCCAAAACCAGAUGUCCACGCUUAAAAAAAAGAAAGAGCUUUCGUUAUGCAUCUUUACACAGUUCACAUGGGACAUGGUUAAAGUAGUCGCCCCCACCGCAGCCCCAGCUCCCAGCCCCACCACCGCCGCCCGAGGCAACUCCUGGUAUCGAUCUCCUGUUCCUGCAGCCGCUCCAGGCUCCCACCACGUCCCUGCCCGUACUGCCCCCCCCAUUCCUUCUCCUUAUACUGGCCUCCUUCUUGUCCUUGAAUACGCCAGGCGUGUUCCCACCCCAGGGCCUUUGCACAGGCUGCACCUUCUGCCCGUUCCGUUUCUGCCCAGAUACCACAUGGUUCCCUCCCUCACCUCUGUUGGGUGGUUGCUCACAUGUCAGCUUCCUGCCUGGGGCCUCCCCACCCCAGUGGUACACACUGUCUUCCUUUCCUGAUUUAUUUUUUCUUCCAGCACUUAGCACCUUUGGAUACAAUGUAUAAUGGAUUCAUUUGCUUUUCCUCAGGCAUCUCCCCUUCUGAAUGUCAGCUCCGAGCAGCAGAGGCUUUGCCUGUCUCUGUCACUGCUGAAUUCCCUCCACCUGGCGUGGCGCCUAGCACAUAGUAGGCACUCCUGAAUUAAUAAACACCCUUCCGGAAGCAUGCAUGAGAGUCAAGCAUGUACGUGCAC